UUACGAAUUGUAUGAAGUCUGUCCUUUUCAAUUCUUUCUCUGCUUCGUUGCCAGCACAACACACCAAGUCCAUCUUCAUUCUUCAAGUUCACUCAUCCAAACAUACAUGUGGGUUAAACUCCAUCAUAAAUCCUAUUUUCUUCCAUCUAUUCAAGUUAAAUCUCAAAACCCCAAUCUUUAUGCCUUCUCUUUUGGUUGGUGCAUGUGACGAAUUGAGUAACCACAAGUUGAUGGAAGAUAAGGGAAAUCAAGUUGAGAGCCUCGUGUGAAAAGGUUGGAAGAGCUUGGGUCAAACCCGUAUUCUAGAACAGGGCUUUACUAAAACGGUAACUGCUCCUUCUGUGUAACUCUGAUUUAAAUUCCUUCUGUAAAUUUCGUCUUUUGACGAGUCCGGGAGCUGUCGAUGACAUUUCACAGUAAAGGGGUUUCAAUGACAAAGUUCAAAGUUGGAAAUAAAACUACAGACUAGGAUCAAAUCAAAGAAUGAGCUUGUUGGAGGGAACUAAAAGUGGGAGCUUGGAACUAUGGUUGUGAUGCUCAAUUGUUGAGAAAGCUUCCAAUUUUAAAGGUACAAAUCCCCCCUCUGUGGAUUGCUCAACAACGAACGUAUUGCUGGCCAUCACAAUCUCUGAUCUCCAGGUUGAAGGAUUAGUUCUAUAUAGUGAAGAUUCAAUCAAUGUCGACUUUGGUGUUAUCAACGCUACGGAUUCGGAGGCAUGAACAUUCCGGACACUUCAAUAAUGUCAUAUUUAAAUUUGUAGGCUAUGCAAUUUGUCGUUUUAUGCUAUUAACAUGUAUAUUGUAAGUUUGUUCGCAGAUUUAUCUUUUUUGUUUUUAGCGACUUUGAAUUUGUAUUGCAUCGUAUUAUCAAUUUGAAUGAAUGAAUAUCUUUAUUUUGAGUAAAAAAAACUUCAUAAACAAUGGAA